UUACAAUGGCAAUACAUAUCACUUGAUUGUUAAAAACUGCAAUCAUUUUUGUGAGGAUAUUUGCUAUAAGCUAACCGGGAAACACAUACCGAAAUGGGUGAAUCGGCUUGCGAGAAUAGGAUAUUUAUGUAACUGCAUGCUUCCCAAUGCCCUCAAGACUUCAACUGUUCCACAAGAUUCAAACUUUCGAGGAUUCGACAGCGAGAAGAAGCGAUCACAAAGCACCUUCGGUUGCUUCUCAUCAAUCUCAAUGCAUCAACGGGAAGUUUCAAUGUCUUCAUUGUUUCUUCACUCCCAUUAUAAAGGCUGCCUGCCACCAUGGGAGCUGAAAGGUUCGAAAAGUCGGUCGAGGAAGGAACGCUGACAAACGCUCCUCUUGCUUCUUUGCUGCCAUUUUUGAACCAGGUGAGGAUAAUUCACCAUUUUGGCAGAGAAGAUUUGUAGGUGCAAUGUUUGUUCUUUAGUAGUUUUCUUUUAAGUUUGUGUUAAGUUUAGAGGUAUUCAUUUUGUAUGUUAUAGCACCACAGCAGUUCAUAGUAAUCCAACAGAUGCCUGUUUUUUUUUUACUGUAUAUUUACCCUUGUCUUUUUAUAAUAUAGUUUUUUGGGGGGUGAAAGAGUGAAUCUAUUUAUACAGUUCAGUUCAAAAUC